UCUCAUAGCCUGUAUCUUUCUCUUCCUCUUUCAUUUCCUUUUUCUGUCUCUCUCUUUACUCUAGGAUUCAAUGGGAAGGGGUCCUACUUGUCCCUAGGGACAACCAAGACAGAGACUUCCUCAGACUAGACCUAGGGAUUCAGAACUUUCAGCUCAGUCAGAGCUUUCAUCAAAGUGCGUCCACUCUUUCUCUCUCCACGUGCUCAAGUCAACAUAACAUCAGGAACUGCAGGCAGAGGUAACGAAUACUCCUUAUCAGAGUGCAGACUGCUGCAUCAACUGCAAGCCUCCUCUACACUGAAGACAGGCAGAGGAAGCUUCGGUGGAAGACUUCUCCCAGACCAGCGAAUGAGGUGGUUUUCAGCAGCCUGGCAUGGUGGUCUCAGCCCGGCAUGGCGGUCUUGUCCCAGCAUGGAAGUCUUGUCCUCGUGUGGAUGUCUUCUUUGGGGCGUCCAGGUAUUCCAGCAGCAUAGCAGGAGGGCUCGUCCAGGAGUGGCAGUCUCGCCUGGCAUGGUGGUCUUCUUCAGCAGACACUUCCGGCCCAGUAUUCCAGCGGUCCACUGUGGCAGUCUCAUCCCAGCUGCGUCUU